rnacentral:tRNA from 1 species
GUCUAGAUAGCUCAGUUGGUAGAGCAUAGGAUUGAAGAUUCUUGUGUCAUGGGUUCGAAUCCCAUUCUAGACA